CCUUGAUCUAUUCAUUUAGUCAUGGCUUCCCGACAACUUUUCUUGGAAUAAAAGUAAACCAAUACAGGAAUUGUAAGGAUGGCUUGAGAGGAGACUCCCUUAGAUGGUCCUUUAGAGUCCACGAAGCCUGCAGCCCUACAGCUUGUCCUCAGCAACACUGCAACUCUUUCCUCACAAAGUACACCAAAGCUUUGGUUUGAGGGAGCUGCCAGGACACUCAUAUUCUGUGUGUACCCAGAGGCCAGUGGGGUCAAGAGAAAGUCUGAACGAGGUCAUCGCAUACUUACUUAACUAUAUGAAUAGCUUUUUUUUAAAGGAUGAUCACAGGUCUGGGGACAAAAUCCAGAUUCAAGUUCAUCAGUCUAAUUAUAAACUAGCUGUCUCUAUUGAAAUAUUUACCAAGAGAAAAAAUACAUUUGUUUUCAUGGAAAGGUUUUAUUCUUUUGUUUUGUGAAAACCUUGGCCACAAAAACAGUCCCCAGGAAGCCCUUCUAAAUCCUAAAAAGAUGAGUGGAGAGACUGUUAAUUAAAUAUUUCAUUAGUGUUUGCCAUAGAGUAAGCCUAUUCAUUUCAGUGAGGUCAAAUUUAUGAUACAGGAGAGUUAGAAUUUUAUGUGCUCUGUGUAUACUUUAUAGUACAUUGGGGCACCUCAUAAAAAUCAAUUGUACAGUACAUUUAUGCCUUAAAAAAAAAGACCCGGGUCAUAAUUUAAGAUUUUAAAUGAUUAGAAAGGUUUAUAAUUUUUGCUUCUUUACUUUUAUGACUCACUAUGAGAUGAACUUAGUUGAUGCCAAGACUUGGAUCAGAAAUAUUAUCUGACUACUAUCUUGUUUCUUUGGACAAAUAUGCUUCACUUUUUAAGAUGAUCUGUAUUUUAAAAAGUGCCAGCUGUCAUUAUACAGUUUCUUCUCUUCAGUUACCUUAUGCUGGUGUUAGUGGGAGUGAUGCUUUUCAAGUUUUAGUUUGGUUUUCUUCUUCUCAAUCAAAUCAGAGACUCUCUGUGAGCACCAGACUGUUUCUUUUAUUUUCUAAGUGAUACACAGUGUAUAGCUGGUGCUAAAGAAACGGGUUUUCAGCUUCACUGAACGAACACACGGAAAUAGGAGCAGAUGUGGAGUUCUUAGGAGAAGGCAAAAAUUAGGGCAUCACUCUUGUACAGGGAAACCAGAGCCCCUGAUCAAUCUUGCGGGGAAAUCUGUUCAAUUACUCAAUAUCCUCAAAGCGCCUUCUUCAAAUGAGCAUGUUCGGGGGCUCAAUCCAUCUUCACUGCACUAUGGCAGAUGAACUGUUCUAACAUCUAAUUCUUUUUAUAAAGCUGAAAAUGUUUCUCAAGCUCUUUAUGGCUGAUUGAACUAAUUUACUGUGGAACAGGCAGCAGCCUAUCUUUAGAUAAAUGCUAAUCAGGACGUUAGAGCUCUCUUCGGUCUGACUGCCACUAUUAUGCUGAAAGGGAAGGUCAACAGCUAAUAAACCCAGUUAACAAGCCAUUCUGAACUUCACUUUAGCUUAACACUCUUCAAAGUUGCAGUCAUUAAAUCCAUAGAUUAUUAGAGGCUGUCCUAGUGUUUUCACUGCACACGGAGACAAACUUUCAGUACAGUCAUUAAUUGAAUUAACAUUGUCUAAUCCAAUUUUAUAGAGUGUAAACUGAGAUAGGACUGAGGGGAAGGCCUUCUCAAAUGCCCUCACAAUAAACGCUGGAGAAUACCAUCAUCCAAGAUUAGACUCUGGCUGAAGAGGGACAGGAAACAUGUCCCGUUAAUGGCUUCUUUUCCCUCACAGCCCUCUCUCCACUUCUUUCUUCCCUGAAGUCUUUCAACGAGUAAAAGAAAGGCAUUUUGUAGUUGCUAGAGGAUAGUUUUACACUGCAGAAAAGCCAGACAGAAAAACAGUGAGGCCAUUUGUAUCACGGUCCCACACAACCCAGGACAAGGAUGACAAUGCAGUCUCAGACAAGGCGUAGCGGCUCCCUUUCUACCAGAAAUGACUGGGAUAAUUAGCUCCAUCCCAGACCCCUGAGAGACCAAGUCCUGCUAUAAUAACCAAAGGGCCGUCAAAACAUUCUCAAGUUAGGCCAAAGGGCUCUAAGUCUAAUUUAGAAACUAAAACAUUUCAACACUAUGCACUAGAGAAUUCUCUUUAUAAUAAGAUGGGCAGCAAACUGUUUCAUCAACAGUUGUCGAUAAAUACUAGGAGGUUCCCUCCCUUGCCCUUACCAAGUAUGAGAGGGACCUAGUCCCUUUUUAUUUCUGAUUGGUCUCCCCUUCUCAAGCAGCAGAAGAAAGGCAUACGGUGAACCAUUUCCUUUAAUGAGAAGACAGCCGUUUUCUCUGUGUUGCCUACCUGUGGGUACCAAAAUGAGCAAAAAAGCAUAUGGAAAACCUAAAGCUUCACAAUACAAAUCAGGUCUGGUCAUGCAGCGUCAUCGUAUUCAUUAAUAUAAAAGGUCUAUUUAUGUUACAAGAAUAAUUUAAGUCAAGUCUGAAGAUGGACACCAAAGAAACCUCACACCCGUGAAGACUUACCACGACAACAUACUAAGACAUGACGUUGGAUGUACAAUUCAAUGGUUCUCAUUUCAAAAGGCCACAUCAACGUGCCCACUUGAUGCGGUCAGGCAGGCCCCAUCCCCAAUCACACGAGUCCCUAUGUGUCUGGGCCGAUCACGGUAGUCCCAUUUCACUGUCAGUGACCAAUUUAAGUGUGAGAGUGUGAUACACCUCGGGGCUGUUAAACAUGUCAGGGAUCUGCUGAGGUCUUCCGGGAAAGGCAUCCUUACACCUAAGGAGAAAACCAACACAUGAAGACAGGCUCUUCUUCCUUUGGAUUCAGCGCAUGGAACUUGUGCAGCCAAAAGCACUGCAAAACACUGAGUGGUCUACAUAGUAAUGAUAUAGGUCUGUGUUGGCAAAUUACAGUCCACUUUUUGGGGGGGGGCAAAAAUUAGGUUUUACUGGUACACAGCCAUAUCCACUCAUUUACAUGACCGUGAUACAAAUGGCCUCAUUGCACAUGUGACUACAACAUCCAAGGUGAAUAGUUUUGACAAAGAUAAUAUGACCUGGAAAGUCAAAUAUAUUUACUUUUGGUCCUGCCCAGAAAAAGUGUACCAAGUUCUGAUUCAGAUUCAUGUCUAGUUAUUUUUUAUUCUGAUUAGUUAACCAAUACACUAUACUUAAGUGCAAGUACACUGGUAUGACAAUGACCAUUAUUUUCAGUUUAAAACCUAUAUUUCAGCUGAAGCGUAUUCUAGAUAUAAUCCAAUCCAACAAAUGCUUAUUAAGCACCUACCAUGUACCACAACACAAGUUUGGAUAAAAUACAAUCUUCCUACUUAAGGAGCUCAAAGAACAACAGGCAGGAUGCUCAAACUCAUAAAUAAUAUGAAAAGGGGGUAGGCAGUGAACCUAUUUCAUAUUAUACAGUGGUAGUCUUUGGUAUCUCUGUAUUUAUGUUCUAUAUCUAUGACUCUGUUUGCUUUAUAAUGUUUGUUCAUUUGUUUUCCUUUUUAGAUUCCACAUAUUUACUUAAGUGAAAUCGUAAGAUAUUUGCCUCUGACUUAUUUCACUUCAGCAUAAUAACCAGUAGGUCCAUCCAUGUUGUCACAAAUGGCAAGAUUUCAUUCUUUUUUAUGGCUAAGUAAUACUCCACUGUAUAUAUACACAUCCUCUUUAUCCAUUCAUCUGUCAGUGAAUGUGGAAAAUGAGACAAAAAGAAUACUUGUCCAAGUUCCCAACCCAGUUAGUCUAGCCCCAGUGUUUACAUCUCUAUCAUCAUCCUCUACUGUUAUAGUUAAAUACAUUCUAAAAAUAAACAACAGAGGCCAGGGGCUAAGAAAACAAGAAGCUCGAGAGAAGAACACUCAGUUAGUCCUAUUUAGCGAGAGGACAGGGAAAUAACUGGGAGCAACAGAAAUGAAAAAGGGAGUCAUGGCCACAUUACUGAAGAUCUUACGAGUCAAGCAGAGGAGUCAGUACUCAAUCCAUGGGCCAUGGGGCCCCUUGAGGAAUUUUCCUCAGCGUGAGUACAUACAUUGAAGAAAGUAAAAGUAUUUUAUUCUGACUCAGAUGAAGAGAUGAAUAGAAAUUAUAUAUUUUUUAAAAAUCUAGGCAAGAAGUAAUGUGGCAGUAUCACAUUAAAUAAUGGAAAAGAAAGGGAAACAUACAAAAGAGAUGGGGGCUGAGGAAGGAGAAGGAACAAACAAGCACAGAGCUGGUGUGGAGGACAGGGAGCUUUCACAGAAAUGAUAACUGAAGAAGAGCUGUUUUGUAGGAAGUAAAUACAUACAGGACUUGGAUAUAAUGAUUUACCAUGAGGUGAGCUAGCCUGUAGGAAAUGCUAUGCUGGAGCUGAAGUUUCAUUUAAUACCAAAAUAUGGGGUGAUUUAAGAAGGAUAGGGGACCUUUGCUUCAGACAGCUGCUAUGGCCUGUUCCAUGCAUUGCACUUUCUAAGGGAAUCUGCUGGAUCACCAAACCUGCCAUAUAGUGGUCAGGUACUGGUCCAUCAGGACCCCCCUAGCCUGGAAAUGUGAAUUAUGAAACUGCUAGGGUGAUACAGUGAGCAAAAGGGAUAAAUGAUAGGCAAAUCCAUAAGGCUUAAGACUAACGCACAAACUAAAGUGGAUAGGGAGCCAAAGACUCAGAGAGAGACAAAGAAGCAGCUAGGUGAAAAGAGAUGAAGAUGAAAAGAAUACAGCUGUGUGUGUGUGUGAGUGUGUGUGUGUGUGUGUGUGUGCGCGCGCGCACGCCUAUGUGUAUGAAAGAGGGGGAGAGGGAGAGAGGAAGACACAGAAAGAGAGAAGGGGGUGAGGGGGAGGGAAGAGAAGGAGAGAAUAAGAAUGAAUGUGGACAGAAACCUAACAACUGAUCAAGACCAACUCACAAGAGAAUGAUUAUAUGACCAUUUUGGUUCCACUUCAUAUGAGCCCUGCUAAAAUAAGAUUUUUUUUUUUUUUACUAUUUCUUAAAUGUUUCCUUACUAUUAAAAACAACAAGAAAAAAAUCUUAAGGCAAUUAGAGUGGGUCUUGGUUCCUUGCAUCUAAACUAGCCGGAAGAGGAAGAAUACAAUUUCCCAUAUUCCCCAAAGUCUACCUAGGUUUUUAGGACAAAUAAAGAACAAACAUGAGGGGUCUUUCUCAUUCAUUUAACUAGUAAUAACCCAAAUUUAUUGUAUGAUACUUCAUUUCCUAAGGGCAAGAGAAAUGUAUCCAUUGGGAACAUGGGUUUUACCUACUUUAUGCCUUACGGCACUCUUAACACCAUCACAUGGACAUAAUCUCUCUGACAGUAUGUAUCAAAAUCUAAAAUGCACACUCCUUUCUACAUGAUGUCUUGGGCUUAGUUGAAGCAUUUUGGGAAAUAUCUCAGGUCAUGCUGAUGCUGCUGGUCCAAGGACCGUAAUAUAAGGAUUGUUAACACAGGAGCUACAUGAAUAGUGAUCAGUGAAAAGCGGCCCAGGAAACAUGAAGAUGAGAGCGUUAAAGGAGAAACAUUAAAAAUAGCAACAUCUAAGGCGUAUCCAAGGAAGAGAGGCCAAUCAAAGCAAACUAUUUCCUGUAAGUUGAGGAAAACCAGAGGGGGCUGAUGUCAUGAAAAACCAAGAGCAAAGAGUGUCAAGAAAGAAGUCAUCGCAAGAAUCCUUAAAUAACUCAAAGAUCAGCACGUUAUAUUCCAGUAGAAUCAACCAGUUAAUGGCCUCAAUAAGUCAGCACCUCAACAUCAGCAGGGGCUUCAUCUCCCGGCCAAAUC
rnacentral:lncRNA from 1 species